rnacentral:tRNA from 1 species
GGGGGUUUAGCUCAGUGGUAGAGCGCUUGCCUAGCAAGCACAAGCUGGGUUCGAUCCCCAGCUCCG